rnacentral:rRNA from 1 species
UACGUAGGGUGCAAGCGUUGUCCGGAAUCAUUGGGCGUAAAGCGCGCGUAGGUGGCCAUUUAAGUCCGCUGUGAAAGUCAAAGGCUCAACCUUUGAAAGCCGGUGGAUACUGGAUGGCUAGAGUACGGAAGAGGCGAGUGGAAUUCCUGGUGUAGCGGGUGGAAUGCGCAGAUAUCAGGAGGAACACCAAUAGCGAAGGCAGCUCGCUGGGACGUUACUGACACUGAGGCGCGAAAGCGUGGGGAGCGAACAGG